rnacentral:rRNA from 1 species
UAUAGAGUUAGCUCCGGUCUCAGAUAGAACGCGGGGGGACACGCAUCACACACACAUCUCAGACGAGAGCACAGAGAGCUGGCUCUUGGGUGACGAGUGGCGGACGGGUGAGUAAUGUCUGGGGAUCUGCCCGAUAGAGGGGGAUAACCACUGGAAACGGUGGCUAAUACCGCAUAACGUCGCAAGACCAAAGAGGGGGACCUUCGGGCCUCUCACUAUCGGAUGAACCCAGAUGGGAUUAGCUAGUAGGCGGGGUAAUGGCCCACCUAGGCGACGAUCCCUAGCUGGUCUGAGAGGAUGACCAGCCACACUGGAACUGAGACACGGUCCAGACUCCUACGGGAGGCAGCAGUGGGGAAUAUUGCACAAUGGGCGCAAGCCUGAUGCAGCCAUGCCGCGUGUAUGAAGAAGGCCUUCGGGUUGUAAAGUACUUUCAGCGGGGAGGAAGGCGAUGUGGUUAAUAACCGCGUCGAUUGACGUUACCCGCAGAAGAAGCACCGGCUAACUCCGUGCCAGCAGCCGCGGUAAUACGGAGGGUGCAAGCGUUAAUCGGAAUUACUGGGCGUAAAGCGCACGCAGGCGGUCUGUUAAGUCAGAUGUGAAAUCCCCGGGCUUAACCUGGGAACUGCAUUUGAAACUGGCAGGCUUGAGUCUUGUAGAGGGGGGUAGAAUUCCAGGUGUAGCGGGAAAUGCGUAGAGAUCGGAGGAAUACCGGUGGCGAAGGCGGCCCCCGGACAAAGACGACGUCAGGGCGAAAGCGGAGCAACCCC